CCUCAGGACGGAAAGACCUCAGGUCGGAAGGUCUUCAGGUCGGGAGGUCCUCAAGACGGAAAGUCCUCAGGACGGAAAGACCUCAGGUCGGAAGGUCUUCAGGUCGGGAGGUCCUCAAGACGGAAAGUCCUCAGGACGGAAAGACCUCAGGUCGGAAGGUCUUCAGGUCGGGAGGUCCUCAAGACGGAAAGUCAUCAGGACGGGAAGUCCGCAGGUCGGGAGGCCCUCAGGACGGGAAGUCCGCAGGUCGGGAGGCCCUCAGGACGGGAAGUCCGCAGGUCGGGAGGCCCUCAGGUCGGGAAGUUCUCAGGUCGGAACUCUGCGGCAGGGCCAACAAAUCGGAUGGUUUGUUAGUCGGGAUGUCUGUAGCUAAUCCAAACAAGUCAGAUGGUUUGCAAGUCGGGAGGAUUGGCAGUCGGACCAAUACGGUUGUAGAUUGGCAGUCGGGCCUAAAGGGCGGAAGGUAUGUGGUCGGCUCAAAGAGUGAAAUAUAGGGAUAAUUUUGGUCUGCUGAGGACACGUGUCAGCAGGAGAAGGGUUGGAAGACGGUUGGGAAGGAGACGUUGUAACCGUUCGGGUGACGGUUUUCAGUACGGUUUCCCAGAGAAUAUUUAAGGGUUUGGAUAAUCA